CUACGGGUCGCAGCAGUCGAGAAUCUUCCGCAAUGGACGAAAGUCUGACGGAGCGACGCCGCGUGCGGGAUGAAGGCCUUCGGGUUGUAAACCGCUGUCAGUGGGGAGGAAAUGCAUCAGGGUUCUCCCUGGUGUUUGACCGAUCCGCAGAGGAAGCGCAGGCUAAGUUCGUGCCAGCAGCCGCGGUAACACGAACUGCGCGAACGUUAUUCGGAAUCACUGGGCUUAAAGAGUUCGUAGGCGGCCUGUCAAGUCGGGUGUGAAAUCCUUCGGCUCAACCGAGGAAUUGCGCCUGAUACUGUUGGGCUUGAGGGGGAUAGGGGUGAGCGGAACUGAUGGUGGAGCGGUGAAAUGCGUUGAUAUCAUCAGGAACACCGGUGGCGAAGGCGGCUCACUGGAUCUCUUCUGACGCUGAGGAACGAAAGCUAGGGGAGCGAACGGGAUUAGAUACCCUUGUAGUC
rnacentral:rRNA from 1 species